AAUGAGGAUUUUGAUCACUGAUGGAAAUAUGUACUACAGUAUUUAGGUGUCCUGGAGAAAAUCUAAUUUUGUGUGCAUGGAGAAGCUACAUAGACAUGAGACCCCCUCUAUUGUUAAGCCUUUGGACAAGUGAAUCUAGUGUCUUUAUGGGAUCUCCUCAGGCUGUUUCUACAGUUGGGCUCAGGAUAGCACAUCCUAACUAUGGAGAUAAGUCUAACAAACAGCUGCCCAGAUGAAAAACAGUAGCUAAUUCUCACUAAUAGAGGCUAUAGUUCUGGCAAAAUGGCAAUGGAGUUCCAAAAGGAAUUAUCAGCUAGUCAUCCAGCAGGAAUUAUUUGAUUAAAAGAAGGGGGAAAAUAGUCUGCUAGCAGCUAUUUAUAUUAACACAAACGAAGGCACAAAUAGGACUCCAGAGAUGAUGAGUGAAGGCGUGGUGAAUAUCAGG